rnacentral:rRNA from 1 species
AUACGGAGGGGGUUAGCGUUGUUCGGAAUUACUGGGCGUAAAGCGCACGUAGGCGGACUGGAAAGUUGGGGGUGAAAUCCCGGGGCUCAACCCCGGAACUGCCUCCAAAACUUCCAAUCUAGAGAUCGAGAGAGGUGAGUGGAAUUCCAAGUGUAGAGGUGAAAUUCGUAGAUAUUGGGAGGAACACCAGUGGCGAAGGCGGCUCACUGGCUCGAUACUGACGCUGAGGUGCGAAAGCGUGGGGAGCAAACAGGAUUAGAUACCCUAGUAGUCC